AUCGCUUCUCGGCCUUUUGGCUAAGAUCAAGUGUAGUAUCUGUUCUUAUCAGUUCAAUAUGCAUUUGAAGAAAAUGUAUCUUAAUAUUGUUCACUUUAU
rnacentral:snRNA from 1 species